rnacentral:rRNA from 1 species
AACGCGAAGAACCUUACCUACUCUUGACAUCCAGAGAACUUAGCAGAGAUGCUUUGGUGCCUUCGGGAACUCUGAGACAGGUGCUGCAUGGCUGUCGUCAGCUCGUGUUGUGAAAUGUUGGGUUAAGUCCCGCAACGAGCGCAACCCUUAUCCUUUGUUGCCAGCACGUUAUGGUGGGAACUCAAAGGAGACUGCCGGUGAUAAACCGGAGGAAGGUGGGGAUGACGUCAAGUCAUCAUGGCCCUUACGAGUAGGGCUACACACGUGCUACAAUGGCGUAUACAAAGAGAAGCGACCUCGCGAGAGCAAGCGGAACUCAUAAAGUACGUCGUAGUCCGGAUUGGAGUCUGCAACUCGACUCCAUGAAGUCGGAAUCGCUAGUAAUCGUAGAUCAGAAUGCUACGGUGAAUACGUUCCCGGGUCUUGUACACACCG